rnacentral:rRNA from 1 species
UACAUAGGAGGCAAGCGUUGUCCGGAAUCAUUGGGCGUAAAGCGCGCGUAGGCAGCCCGGUAAGUCCGCUGUGAAAGUCAAAAGCUCAACCCUCGGAUGCCGGUAAAUACUGUCGAGCUUGAGUGCGGAAGAGGCGAGUGGAAUUCCUGGUGUAGCGGUGAAAUGCGCAGAUAUCAGGAGGAACACCAAUUGCGAAGGCAGCUCGCUGGGACGUUACUGACGCUGAUGCGCGAAAGCGUGGGGAGCAAACAGG